GAAAGGACAUAUUCUAGCAGAUAGUCAUGAUCUUCAUAUAAAAAUCAAAGCUGGCGUCGUGGGAACACACAUAUAUUGCCAAGUUAUCUCUGCUUCAAGAUUUGUGGUGUAGUUCCUCACACAAAAUUCCCACUGUCUUCAAGGAUGUUAAAUUAACAGCUUCAUACAUCAUCACUAAGAAAAGGGUCAUUCUCCACCUACGGAUCUGUGCAAAUCUCCAUUCCACAAAAGGUAAAUGGGGAAGAUUCUGCAGACACAUGAACUGCACUCAGAUGAUGAUGUGGGAACGUGGCUGAGACUUGAGCAUCUCCCCAGGACCUGAGAAGCCUUCAGUAUCACAC
rnacentral:lncRNA from 1 species